UCGAGGCAGAUAUUGUAUAGCUUUGGCGCACAAUUCAUGCAACCAGAGUUCGCACUUUACACAUGCGUAGGCUGCACCACAGAUUUUCUCCGUGCAUUUCUCACACCAUUUAUCAUCUGUCUCAUCAUCGAGACAAUGAUAGCCUAUUGAAUGCUCAUGACUGGCAAGUUUGAUCUCCAUAUCUCAAACAAAGAUAAGAUCAAAUGAUAAAAG
rnacentral:lncRNA from 1 species